rnacentral:misc_RNA from 1 species
AAAAACGAAACCAGAGUCAUGGUUUCAACGAGAAGAAGUGGAUCUCUCGCUGGAAACAAUAAUAUCAAGAGAUCUUCGUCGUCGGAGGAUAAGCCUCCGUCGCCAAAGCGUCAAAAGGGUGAAAAUGGUGGGACUGCGGAAAAAACGAUGCCGGCGGCGGAGAAUUCCAAGGAAUUUUGUCCACCUUCCGCCGCGGAUCUCGCUGAAUGUGAACCUGGCGACGCCCAGAUUGCUGGAGACGCU